GCGCAGACGAGCUUUCGUUCGCGGGCGGCGCGCGUCUGCACGUGCUAAGGAAGGGCGACGACGCCGAGCGCGAGUGGUGGUGGUGCCGCGAUGACAGCGCGCGCGAGGGCUACGUGCCCAGGAACUUGCUCGGGUUAUACCCAAGAGUAACCACGCAGCAGGAAUGAAGACGAAUAAACAAUGACCUGAUAAUCAUUAUAAUAAUGUAAAUAUCGUUGCUCUUAUUAUUUUUUAUGUAUUUAUAUCAACUGUAAUCUAAAAAUUAUAGAUAUUGUAUACAAUUUUAUCAGAUCUAAUAUUUUGUAAAUAUUUAACUAAGUUCAAAACGAAUGAGAUUAUAUUGUACAUUUUAUAAAUAUGUGAGUCAUUUAAAUAAAUAUCGGUCAUACAAUUUGUAUAUGCUCUUAGUAAUGUCUGCAAAUAUUGUGAGAUAAACACAUAACUGACAAUACAAAUAAAUGAAGAGUUAUCACGAAAUUA